GUUUGUUUCACUGUUUGUUUUAAUGUAUCUUUAAUGUCUUUGUUUAUAUUUAGUUAUUGUUUUUUUUAAUAAUACAAAGCCCAGUACAACUAGUUACUUUUAAUGGUGCAUUACUACCAUUAUUAACAUACACAUAUUAACAUACAAGAAUAGACAGGUUUUUUCAUGCUAAGCAGGUUUAGAUAAGGAGGAUUGUGGAAAACACUUUUUUAUACUGUUUACUACAUAAUUCCAUAAUGUGUCCCUUAACUGUUUUUAUGUCUUUAAUAUCAAUAUACAAUGUAGAAAAUAAAUAAAGAAAAUUUGAAAAAAAAAUGAAAAGAUGACUACAACCUCAGCUCAAAUUGAAAAAAAAAAUUGUUUAGAAGGGGCAUUGGGUGAUGUAUGGGUUUAGGGGCGGGGCAGGAGGGAGAGCUGAUUGGGCUGAGCAGUGUGCCUCUGAUAGCUGGGAGAGGCACGGAAACAUCAUCCUUGCCUAUAGCGCAGUUAAACCUGUGCGGACAAAUUACCACAAUAAAAGCAUUUUUUUAAAGAAGUCCUUCGCCGGUGUGAGUGGAGAGAGUUGCAGCUGCCUAAAACAACCCUUUUCAGCUUUUAAGACCUCGAAAUGUAAGUUUUUAAGGCUCGUGCAUGCCUGUUUUUUUUACAUCAGACCUUUAUAAACACGUUUAGGCUUGAUUUAGUCCAUGCAUUUUGCUUGUUUUGGCGUUUAAAGUUUGUAGAAUGGGACAAAAGAAUGCAAUACAGUGCAGUGCAGUGUAGUAGUUAGAGUGGCGCGUGCGUGCGAGGCUGAGUGCAUUCAGUGCACCGGGUGCAAUGCUUUUUAAUUCAUUUUUAUUUAAACCUUAUUUUUUGCAUUUUGCAUUAUAUCUGCCCAUGCAUUUGAGCUGUAAUGGCAUGUUGCUUCUUGUGCAUCAUAAAAUGCACUGGCUCCAGUGCUUGAAGUUAGCUAGUUAGCUUUUGUUGCUAGCAUUUCUUAUAUAAGUUACCAAGAUACAUUGCUAGGCUAGGUCAUCUAGUAAAUUUAGCAAGCUAAAUGCAAUGCAAACAUAAUAUGAACAGCUGCUAGCUUUUGUCUGACUAUUGCAUUGUUACAAUUACAAUUAGUUAUAUAGCUAAUGCUAAUGCUAGGGUGGCUAAUAUAGGCUAUCUAGGUCAUUAUCUUGUCCCCUAGCUCAGAAGUUAGCUUGCUAUACAGCAUUUAUAUUAGGAUAGCAUGGCCUUUAUCUGCUCAGAGAAGUCUCCAGCGUUUGUGGUGGACGUGUCCACUUAUCUAGCUAUCUCCUUUCCACACAAUCAGCUUAUUUCAGCGCCCUGAAAUUCUGCUUUGUCAUCCUGCCAGCUGAUAUCAGGGGAGCACGACCCCACCAAGGGGCGUGUUUACUUUCUUAGAAAUGUUCCCAACGACUGACUGACUGAUUCACCCAACUGAUCUAUAGUUACUGUCCAUUGUUGGAGAGCAGCAGAAGAUAUACUACCUAAAAAUGAUGAGUUUCUUUGAUUUUACCAAAUUAAAAAACCCAGGAAUAUAAUCAAGAGGAAGAUGGAUGAUCACAAGCCAUCAAACCAAACUGAACUGCUUGAAUUUUUGCACCAGGAGUGAUUGGCAUAAAGUUAUCCAAAAGAAGUGUGUAAGACUGGUGGAGAACAUGCCAAGAUGCA
rnacentral:lncRNA from 1 species